rnacentral:rRNA from 1 species
UCCUACUUGGAUAACCGUGGUAAUUCUAGAGCUAAUACAUGCUAAAAAUCCCGACUUCGGAAGGGAUGUAUUUAUUAGAUUAAAAACCAAUGCCCUUCGGGGCUCCCUGGUGAUUCAUAAUAACUUCACGGAUCGCACGGCCUUGCGCCGGCGAUGGUUCAUUCAAAUUUCUUCCCUAUCAACUUUCGAUGUUUGGGUCUUGGCCAAACAUGGUUGCAACGGGUAACGGAGGGUUAGGGCUCGACCCCGGAGAAGGAGCCUGAGAAACGGCUACUACAUCCAAGGAAGGCAGCAGGCGCGCAAAUUACCCAAUCCCGACACGGGGAGGUAGUGACAAUAAAUACCGAUACAGGGCUCUUUUGGGUCCUGUAAUUGGAAUGAGUACAAUUUAAACCCCUUAACGAGGAACAAUUGGAGGGCAAGUCUGGUGCCAGCAGCCGCGGUAAUUCCAGCUCCAAUAGCGUAUAUUAAAGUUGUUGUGGUUAAAAAGCUCGUAGUUGAACCUUGGGCCUGGCUGGCCGGUCCGCCUCACCGCGUGUACUGGUCCGGCCGGGCCUUUCCCUCUGUGGAACUCCAUGCCCUUCACUGGGUGUGGCAGGGAAACAGGACUUUUACUUUGAAAAAAUUAGAGUGCUCCAGGCAGGCCUUUGCUCGAAUACAUUAGCAUGGAAUAAUAAAAUAGGACGUGCGGUUCUAUUUUGUUGGUUUCUAGGACCGCCGUAAUGAUUAAUAGGGACAGUCGGGGGCAUCAGUAUUCCAUAGUCAGAGGUGAAAUUCUUGGAUCUAUGGAAGACUAACUACUGCGAAAGCAUUUGCCAAGGAUGUUUUCAUUAAUCAGGAACGAAAGUUAGGGGAUCGAAGACGAUCAGAUACCGUCGUAGUCUUAACCAUAAACUAUGCCGACUAGGGAUCGGACGAUGUUAUAUUUUGACUCGUUCG